CCUCUGCGCUGUGAGGCCGACGCGCUAACCAGUUGACCACCGGGCGUCGUGGGUGAGACACUAAUACCCGAAUACUGUUUUGGACAAAAUGCCAGCAAAAGGAUCCAGAUGAAGUGGUUGCCGCAAUUGGAGUGUGAUUGACGGACAGCGGUCACUACAGUGGACAGCUCAUCAUGUUAUCAGACAUAUUGUACCAUCGGGAGGUCUGUUGGACGUGGCCACCACCACCACUCCGGUCUUAAACAACGUCUGGAAAAGCUGCCUCAGGAUCACUGCAUCGGCGAUGUCCGUCACCUGAUGAUAAAAGGUCAUCAAAGGUCAAGAAGAUCACAUAUUGAUUGACGUCGGUCCGAGCAAGUCAUCGACACUCCACGUUGAUUAGUGUCAUUCAGGAGGCAGGUUUCACGGGAGAUCUCCACGGCAACCGGUGAGAUGGGGUCAUAGGUGAACAUGUUGCCCAGCUUUCGUCUC